CCGCCCGUAGCGAAGCAGGAUAUCGCAUCAGAUUCCGAUUCUGAAGGUCGGGGGUUCGACUCCCUCCGGGUGGGCCA
rnacentral:tRNA from 1 species